rnacentral:rRNA from 1 species
UACGGGGGGAGCAAGCGUUGUUCGGAUUUACUGGGCGUAAAGCGUGCGUAGACGGUUAUGUAAGUCAGAUGUGAAAGCCCCGGGCUCAACCUGGGAAUUGCAUUUGAGACUGUGUAGCUAGGGUGCGGAAGAGGGAAGCGGAAUUUCCGGUGUAGCGGUGAAAUGCGUAGAUAUCGGAAGGAACACCAGUGGCGAAAGCGGCUUCCUGGUCCAGCACCGACGUUCAGGCACGAAAGCGUGGGGAGCAAACAGG